GAGCUCAAAUUUAUAAUCUGGCACCUUCGGUGUCCGAGUUGUAAUCUCUAGAAGUGUUUUCCGCGUUGGACCGCACACAAGUCUGUUGGAAUACAGCGGCACAGUGGUGAUACCCCCGUACACGGUGCGGACGCCCAGCGCUUUGUGAUACACUUUCAAUGAGUCGAGUUGUUUGGGAAUGCAGCUCAAAUUGGGUGGUAAAUUCCAUCUAAAGCUAAAUAUUGGCGAGAGACCGAUAGCGAACAAGUACCGUGAGGGAAAGAUGAAAAGCACUUUGGAAAGAGAGUUAACAGUACGUGAAAUUGUUGGAAGGGAAACGCUUGAAGUCAGACUUGCUUGCCGGAGCUUGCUUCGGUUUGCAGGCCAGCAUCAGUUUUCCGGGGUGGAUAAUGGUGGUUUGAAGGUAGCAGCCUCGGCUGUGUUAUAGCUUUCCACUGGAUACAUCCUGGGGGACUGAGGAACGCAGCGUGCUUUUUGCGAAGGUUUCGACCUUUUCACGCUUAGGAUGCUGGUGUAAUGACUUUAAACGACCCGUC
rnacentral:rRNA from 1 species